GACGAACGCUGGCGGCGUGCUUAACACAUGCAAGUCGAACGGUGAAGCUCCAGCUUGCUGGAGUGGAUCAGUGGCGAACGGGUGAGUAACACGUGAGCAACCUGCCCCUGACUCUGGAAUAAGCGCUGGAAACGGCGUCUAAUACUGGAUACGAGAAGGGUCCGCAUGGGCACUUUCUGGAAAGUUUUUCGGUUGGGGAUGGGCUCGCGGCCUAUCAGCUUGUUGGUGAGGUAAUGGCUCACCAAGGCGACGACGGGUAGCCGGCCUGAGCGGGCGACCGGCCACACUGGGACUGAGACACGGCCCAGACUCCUACGGGAGGCAGCAGUGGGGAAUAUUGCACAAUGGGCGAAGGCCUGAUGCAGCGACGCCGCGUGAGGGAUGACGGCCUUCGGGUUGUAAACCUCUUUCAGCAGGGAAGAAGCGAAAGUGACGGUACCUGCAGAAGAAGCACCGGCUAACUACGUG
rnacentral:rRNA from 1 species